ensembl:processed_transcript Gm10649 predicted gene 10649
AGUGGCGGCCGGGCUUGGGGCCGGCGGGUCUCCGGGGCUGCUGGUUCGCCCCGCAGUGACUGUGGAGGUCCCGGGAGCCCGCCAGUCCAGCGAUGUCUGUGCUUCUAGGAGUCACAGCAUACAACAUGUCUACUGACCUCAUUUGAUGUCUUCAAACUCAGGGGAAGAGACCUAUUUCCAAAAGAGUUAUCAGUACCCUUCAAUCUGCAGGUGAGACCCAAGGAAGACUGAAGCCAUUUGGAAAGGCUCAAGUGAGACUGUGGAAGCAUGGAGACAUUGUGGUGGAACAGGAACAGAGCCCUCAGUGAUGACAUAGUGCCUAGAAAGAAGCCAGGAUUUGUGGUCCAGGCAGUCUUCCAUCCAGGAGGCCUGGCAAGGAGGAUGUCAAGACAAAAGACUGGCCUCACACUCCUGUCUUGUGAUGCUUCUCAUUGACAAAGGCAGGCUACAAUAAAGAAAGCAGGUUAACAAAUUUGCCACAGAAAGAUGAAAACAUCACAUUUGAGCAUGUAAGAAUGCCUGUUUCCCAAAGGAGAGUCUCUGAAGGAGAAAAAAAAGAGGGCCCUUGUGAAGUCAAAGAUGGAAUUUAAUAACAUAAUAUUGUAUUAUUUUCAGUUUGGAUCUGUUUCUACACAAAACAUUCUGUCCAUUCAUGAGGGCUUUACACAAUAUUCAAUCCAGCCAUUCCAGAAAAGCCUGAUUGAUCAUUAGGGAUUAAAUAUAUGAUAUGUGCAAAGUAGCUUUCCAGGGAGAAACACAGGAAGUAUUGGGUGUUUCAUAAAAUAAAACUGUUUGUACUCAGC